AGGAGCCCCUAGCGGUCCACGCAAAGGCUGCGCAGGCGCAGAACGUGGCUUCUGACGCACGUGCGUGGGGAACCCUUUAAAAGGCCGGAAAGCCGUCUGUUCAUUCUCUUUUCCCCUUCGCUCCCGCACGGUGCAAUAAAGCUCACGCUCCACGUGGGUUUUGUUGUGUGUUGCAUCCUUUCGCGUCCGAAGAACAGAAGAUCAGAAGAGCAAGCAGAAGAAGCAGCAGCAUGUAACAGAGAAAAGCCGCCCAAUUCACGAUAACCAGAAAGGAAAGCCAGGGAGAAGAAAGAGGAUGGCGUUCCAAGUACAGAAAGAAAGAAAAUUCCUUCCUGCCUGCGACCGAGAAUGUGGGAUAGCUUCGACAAGUAGGGUCCACACUGUUCUGAUAAAAUGUAUGCAAUUUAUUGCUGUGAGUUUAUCUACAAAGAGGAGUGCUAGAGGAUCAGGCUUGAAGACUGUGGAGCCAUCCACCAUGUCCAGCACCUAAAGGCAUGAAGAUCCCAGGCAAAUGCAAUCGUCUGCCAACAUGCAUAGAUACAGUCUCAUCUCCAACUUGAUGCUGCCACCAGUGGUGGCUACUUAGACUCCUGGGCUCACUGCUUCUGGAAAGAGAACACAGUUUCUGCUCUUGCCAGGGCAGACUGGAGGAGAUUUAUCACCUUUCUUUCUGUGCCAUUAGAGUCUUGCUUAAAACCUAUGGUGAGAGCCUCCAGUCAAGAGAGUCUAGGCCACAUUCCAAAACCUUUGUUGGAAGAGAAGCUGGGUAAUUAAUACCUACAGUACCAGGAGGCCCCUACCUCAGGAUGAUUCCCACAUAUAGUAAUCAGGGUUAGAGACCAUAAAAAAAUAUAGUAAACACACACAUAUGCACGCGCACACACAAUUUGUAAGAGUUCUUUGAGUCUGGUGAAUAAUGACAAGAUAUUUUGGCACAGAACUCCUAAGCAGUUUCCUUUUAGCUCUCAGAUUCUUCCAGUCAGUUCUUAGGAAUUCUCUAAGAAAGUAAAGGCAAUCCUGAUUUCAUCAUGUUUUGGUCAACAACCGACCACACAGAGACAAUGGCGAUUUUGCCAGCAGUAGACAGGGCUCCAGGGCCAUGCUGUUGGCUGUCUCCUGACAGUGACAGGAAGCUCUACUAAAGAACCCAUGGGAUCUUGGCUAACAGCACAAAAGUACUUCAGGCCCAGACAGCAUGAAGCAAGGUUGGAUUUAUUAAGGAAGUGAGAAGAGAGAUAAUACAUGCUAGCGUGGGCAUCAAGAGAGAUAUAUGUUAAGCAUCCUGACCACAGCCCUGUCUGCACUUCUGUGACCUUGAAGCUACUUUGGCUGAAGGAUGUAAUUUACAACCAAGUUUAAAGAGUAAACAGAGUUUUAAAACAAAGGAAAGUUCAAAGGUUAAGUAUAACCAUAUGAUUUGGUCUACAUGUUGGUUUUAUCUCAAAGAAUUUCCUUUUGCAAGUGAAAUCAUAUAUUAUUCAGAGGUAAAGAUCAGCGAGGGGUGUUGAUAAUAAUGUUAAACUCAGAGGUCCCUAUGCUCGGGCUUAAGCGAGAUCGGGUCACUUGAUGUUUCACUACUUUGAGUAUUUUCUGUAGGCAGCCCUUGGAGUGGGUUUCUUUCUGCUUCCUGCCAAUAAUAUCGAGUUCUUGACCCUCAGCAAAUGAGUAAUGUACACCAAAUUCCAAGAAUGAGUGGCUUCUUUCUGUUCCCCAUUCCUUCUUAAUUUUCCCAGUCCGUCUUUCCUAUCUCAGUCUUAGAAGACUUACUUGAUCACCUGCUAACCUUGUAGCCAUUGCAGGAAGUGCACAGAAAACAAAGUAACUCUCAGGGUGUGUCCACAGUGUUAAAGGAUGGGUGACAACAGCCUUCUACUGAGGAAUAUUAUCUGAAGAGAGUUUUAGUUCAAAACUUUGAACACAGUAUCAAAAAUCAAGGAAAGAUGGCUAAGUGGGUAAAAGCACUUCCUAUAUAUGUAUAAGAACCUGAGUUCAGAUCCCAGUACCCACAUAUAAAGUCAUGUAUGACCACGUACUGGCUUAUACCCAGGGUGCUGUGGAGAACAGGGACAGGAGGAUCACUAGGGCUUACUGGCCACCAGCCUAGCUCCAGGUUCAUUGAGAGACCCUGUCUCAAGGGAAUAAGGUAGAGACUUGUAGAGCAGGACAUCUGAUGUCCUCCUGUGGCCCCUAUGUGCAUAUAUAUACACACUACCUACACAUACACACAAACACACACGCUUCAAAAAAUCAAGGUGU